GCCUGGCUGGCUCAGUCGGUAGAGCAAUUGACUUUUGAUCUCUGGGUCCUGGGUUCAAGCCCCACGUUGGGCG